GGGGAUGUCCUGGUUUUGACAGCAAGGAUCAAUCGGAACGUAAGCAUGCCGAGCGUUGAGAUGGUGGCUCGUUAAUCCCAACACUCAAGCCUUAAACGGCGAAAAUAAUAACUACGCUCUCGCUGCUUAAUCUACCAAGUAGGUUGGCUUAAUCCGGUCGCCCUAGGCUGGCGGUCAGACGAGAAUCCCGCCGGGCUUUUCCGCCCUUUAAUUGUUCGGCAUAUGGGGUUUCAAACUUUAGGGAUAGUAUGUAUGACGCCUUUAAGUACAUGCGAAAUUUUAAAGGCUAAGGUGUUGCUUCGGUUGCCCAUUACCUGGCCGCUCCCUACAACUAAUAACGGGAUAAGCAUGUAGAAAGCGUUUGGGUUGCUUGUCUGGACCCGGGUUCGACUCCCGGCAUCUCCACAA
rnacentral:tmRNA from 1 species